rnacentral:misc_RNA from 1 species
GCCAGGGUUACUUUCAGUUGCUCCUCUCCUGCAUAGAGAAGUUGCUUGCAUUUUUGAAUGUUAGAAGAUUUAUACUUCCUUCUGCUGUUGAAGCAAUGUCAAUAUGGACCGAGAAAUUUGGAUUCAAAGAGAUACCACCAGAUCUGCUAGUCAGCUACAAAAAAACCUGUUGGCAAUUGAUUACCUUCAAAGGAACAUGUAUGCUGGAAAAAAUGGUCCCUAAAUGUCGAAUCAUUCGACAUGAUGUAACUGAAGCUGAAACUGAAACUGAAACUGAAAGUGAUGAACCAGAUGAGUAGUAGGUAGCCAAAGAUGAUUUCUCCCCCAUUUUGUAGAGCCAUUUCUGAUCACAAAUGUAUAUUUGAGUCGUAUUUUAUCAAAGAGGGUGAAUUGAACUUCACAAACUAUGAAUCUCAGAGUACCAAUUUUUUUGUAAAGAAGGUUCUUA